AGAAUAAGCUUAAUCAAAUUACCGGGAUUCCAAAAACGUAAAGAACUUGAAAAACGGGGUUAGAACAGACUUACAAUCGAGUUUGGAAGCUUGGAAACCCUAGCCAUGGAGUCUGACUUGGGUAUAGGGGCGAAAGGCUAAUCGAACCGCCUAGUAGCUGGUUCCCUCCGAAGUUUCCCUCAGGAUAGCUGGAGCCCUUAGCGAGUUCUAU
rnacentral:ncRNA from 1 species